rnacentral:rRNA from 1 species
CCUACGGGAGGCAGCAGUGGGGAAUAUUGGACAAUGGGGGGAACCCUGAUCCAGCCAUGCCGCGUGUGUGAAGAAGGCCCUCGGGUUGUAAAGCACUUUCAGUGAGGAAGAACGCCUGGUGGUUAAUACCCAUCAGGAAAGACAUCACUCACAGAAGAAGCACCGGCUAACUCCGUGCCAGCAGCCGCGGUAAUACGGAGGGUGCGAGCGUUAAUCGGAAUUACUGGGCGUAAAGCGCGCGUAGGUGGCUUGAUAAGCCGGUUGUGAAAGCCCCGGGCUCAACCUGGGAACGGCAUCCGGAACUGUCAAGCUAGAGUGCAGGAGAGGAAGGUAGAAUUCCCGGUGUAGCGGUGCAAUGCGUAGAGAUCGGGAGGAAUACCAGUGGCGAAGGCGGCCUUCUGGGCACCAACUGACACUGAGGUGCGAAAGCGUGGGUAGCAAACAGGAUUAGAUACCCGAGUAGUC